rnacentral:rRNA from 1 species
CCGCAAAUUGACACCGUAACUUCGGGAGAAGGUGUGCCGCUGGCGGUUAGUGACUUCGCGUCACGAAGCUGUUGGUGGUCGCAGUGAAAUGGCGGUUGUGACUGUUUACUAAAAACACAGGACUCUGCGAAGUCGUAAGACGACGUAUAGGGUCUGAUGCCUGCCCGGUGCUGGAAGGUUAAGGGGAUAUGUCAGCGCAAGCGAAGCAUUGAACCGAAGCCCCAGUAAACGGCGGCCGUAACAAUAACGGUCCUAAGGUAGCGAAAUUCCUCGGGUAAGUUCCGACCUGCACGAGGGCAUAACAACAUCCGCACUGUCUCGACCAGGGACUCAGCGAAAUUACAUUGGGGGUGAAGAUGCCCUCUACCCGCGGAAAGACGGAAAGACCCCAUGAACCUUUACUGCAACUUGGCAGUGAUUUUCGGGUUGUUCUGCGUAGGAUAGGUGGGAGGCUUUGAAGCCGGGCUUCCGGGUUCGGCAGAGCCAACGUUGAAAUACCACCCUGAAUAAUCUGGAAAUCUAACCUGCGCCCAUGAUCUGGGCGAGGGACACUGCCUGGUGGGCAGUUUGACUGGGGCGGUCGCCUCCUAAAUUGUAACGGAGGCGUGCGACGGUUCCCUCAGACUGAUUGGAAACCAGCCGUAGAGUGCAAACGCAUAAGGGAGCUUUACUGCGAGACUGACAAGUCGACCAGUUGCGAAAGCAGGUGUUAGUGAUCCGGUGGUACCACAUGGAAGGGCCAUCGCUCAUCGGAUAAAAGGUACUCUGGGGAUAACAGGCUGAUCGCGCCUGAGAGUUCACAUCGGCGGCGCGGUUUGGCACCUCGAUGUCGGCUCAUCGCAUCCUGGGGCUGGAGCAGGUCCCAAGGGUUUGGCUGUUCGCCAAUUAAAGCGGUACGCGAGCUGGGUUUAAAACGUCGUGAGACAGUUUGGUCCCUAUCUUCCGUGGGCGCAGGACACUUGAGAGGAGCUAUCCAUAGUACGAGAGGACCUGGAUGGACGAACCUCUGGUGCUCCGGUUGUCACGCCAGUGGCAUAGCCGGGUAGCCAUGUUCGGAACAGAUAACCGCUGAAGGCAUAUAAGCGGGAAGCUGGCCUCAAGACUAGGUGUCCCUGACGCAAGUCACUAAAGGCCCCUCGAAGACUACGAGGUUGAUAGGCUCGGUGUGGAAGCACAGCGAUGUGCGGAGCUAACGAGUACUAAUAGGCCGUGCGGCUUGACCUC